rnacentral:sRNA from 1 species
UAUUCUGCCCUACAGGGAAGGAUGAGAAGCUUCGACUAAGGUUCGACUCGAGCGAAGCGAGA